rnacentral:lncRNA from 1 species
UUUUCUAAAGGAAUUUAUAUAUAUAUAUAUAUACAAAACCCCUUUUCUCCCCGUGUCACAAUCAGAGCGGAGCUUCACCACGCUACUCGGACAAGCUAACAUAUAACCCGUCAACCUGGAUAUCUGAACCCCCAAAGGUUCCAAUUAACACAAAGCAGAGAGUUAGAAAACAUAAUCGCAUAUCAUACGAGUGUAAGAAAGGCCUUACACUUUCGAACUAUCAUACAUAUUCUAACUCACUCCAUACAAUCACAGUAUUAAAUACAUAGGAAUUUACCUAGUAUGCUACUUACAGAAAACACGUCAAACAAGUCAAGUAAUGUCACAUAACAAUUACCAAGUAAAUAUGCAUAUACCCUAAUGCAAUCUAAUGCCAAUUCAUUCACUGUCAUGCCAUCCCUAGACAUGACUAAAUGCAUGUGGUACCAAGGUGUCUCACCAACGGUGGACCAAGAACAGUUUUAUAUCUUGCUGGAUAUGUCGGAACUUACCGAACCAUCUUAUCUCCCUNNUAUUCUUUAGCUCGAAGCUACUCUUUUAUGAAUGCGGGAACACAAUCCUAACACAUUCACUUAACAUUACAAAUUAAUGCCAAAACAUCACAUUACUCACUUUAAACUGCAACUUAUUGCAUACACGUUUGUCAAUCAUAUAACGAU